rnacentral:rRNA from 1 species
AUUGAACGCUGGCGGCAGGCCUAACACAUGCAAGUCGAACGAAUGGCGGACGGGUGAGUAAUGUCUGGGAAACUGCCUGCUGGAGGGGGAUAACUACUGGAAACGGUAGCUAAUACCGCAUACCAACGGAUGUGCCCAGAUGGGAUUAGCUAGUAGGUGGGGUAAAGGCUCACCUAGGCGAUGAUGCCUAGCUGGUCUGAGAGGAUGACCGGCCACACUGGAACUGAGACACGGUCCAAACUCCUACGGGAGGCAGCAGUAGGGAAUAUUGCACAAUGGGCGAAAGCCUGAUGCAGCCAUGCCGCGUGUAUGAAGAAGGCCUUCGGGUUGUAAAGUACUUUCAGCGGGGAGGCGUUACCCGCAGAAGAAGCACCGGCUAACUCCGUGCCAGCAGCCGCGGUAAUAC